rnacentral:tRNA from 1 species
UGAGAUGUAGCUCAGCCUGGGUAGAGCACCUUUGCGUUGCAAAGGAGGCCGGGGGUUCGAAUCCCUUCAUCUCAG